GCAGCACAGGUGGCAACACCGGGUGGCGACCGGCGCACGGGUGAGCAACGCGUAUGCAACCUGCCCUCCGCAGGGGGAUAGCCGCCGAAAGGCGGAUUAAUACCCCGUGGUCCCUCGGCCCGGCAUCGGGCAGGGGGUAAAGGAGCGAUCCGGCGGGGGAUGGGCAUGCGUGCCAUUAGCUGGCUGGCGGGGUAACGGCCCACCAGUGCGACGAUGGCUAGGGGGCCUGAGAGGGUGGUCCCCCACACUGGUACUGAGACACGGACCAG
rnacentral:rRNA from 1 species